UACGUAGGGUGCAAGCGUUGUCCGGAAUUACUGGGCGUAAAGGGUGCGUAGGUGGCUGGAUAAGUUAGGCGUGAAAUCCCCGGGCUCAACCUGGGAACUGCGUUUAAGACUGUGUAGCUAGAGUAUGGGAGAGGGAAGUGGAAUUUCCGGUGUAGCGGUGAAAUGCGUAGAUAUCGGAAGGAACAUCAGUGGCGAAGGCGACUUCCUGGACUGAUACUGACACUGAGGCACGAAAAGCGUGGGGGA
rnacentral:rRNA from 1 species